UUAUAAAUCCGUGCCACUCAUGCCUCGGGGCCAUUCCAGCUGGGAAAUUUCGGGGAUUGAUCCUUACCAAACUACGUGUUUUGGGGAGGAACAGUAACACAGACGAUCUGGAAAACAGCUAGCAGUCACUCAAAGAGCUAAACCCAUUCUACCCCUAGAUGUAUAUAAAGAAAGCCAACAAGCAUAUCCACGCAGACAUGUGGAAGAAAAAAGCAUAAGGCUAGAGAGAUGGUUCAACAGUAUUACUGGCCACUCAACCGGAGGACUCAGGUUCAAUUCCCAGCACCGACAGGAUCAUAACAACCAUCUGUAACUCCAGGUCCAGCUCUGAUGCCUCUUCAGACCUCAGGCAGGAGGCUUGUGUGUGGCACAUGGACAUACAUGCAAGCAAAAC